rnacentral:rRNA from 1 species
UACGUAGGGUGCGAGCGUUAAUCGGAAUUACUGGGCGUAAAGCGUGCGCAGGCGGUUAUUUAAGUCAGGUGUGAAGCCCUGGGCUUAACCUAGGAAUUGCGCUUGAGACUGGAUAGCUUGGAGUGCGGCAGAGGGAGGUGGAAUUCCACGUGUAGCAGUGAAAUGCGUAGAGAUGUGGAGGAACACCGAUGGCGAAGGCAGCCUCCUGGGCCAGCACUGACGCUCAUGCACGAAAGCGUGGGGAGCAAACAGG